CAGCAGCCGCGGUAAUACGUAGGGGGCGAGCGUUACCCGGAUUUACUGGGCGUAAAGGGGGCGUAGGCGGCCGUGAAAGUCCGGUGUGAAAACUCACGGCUCAACCGUGGGACUGCGCUGGAAACUACACGGCUUGAGGACGGUAGAGGGAGACGGAACUGCUGGUGUAGGGGUGAAAUCCGUAGAUAUCAGCAGGAACGCCGGUGGAGAAGUCGGUCUCCUGGGCCGUUCCUGACGCUGAGGCCCGAAAGCUAGGGGAGCAAACCGGAUUAGAUACCCGGGUAGUCCUAGCCGUAAACGAUGCCCACUAGGUGUGGGGGAGUAAUUCCUCCGUGCUGAAGCUAACGCGAUAAGUGGGCCGCCUGGGGAGUAUGUCCGCAAGGGUGAAACUUAAAGGAAUUGGCGGG
rnacentral:rRNA from 1 species